AUUGAACGCUGGCGGCAUGCCUUACACAUGCAAGUCGAACGGUAACAGGGAGCUUGCUCCGCUGACGAGUGGCGAACGGGUGAGUAAUGUAUCGGAACGUACCUUUUAGUGGGGGAUAACGUAGCGAAAGUCACGCUAAUACCGCAUAUUCUCUGAGGAGGAAAGCAGGGGACCUUCGGGCCUUGCGCUAAUAGAGCGGCUGAUAUCAGAUUAGCUAGUUGGUGAGGUAAAGGCUCACCAAGGCGACGAUCUGUAGCGGGUCUGAGAGGAUGAUCCGCCACACUGGAACUGGGACACGGUCCAGACUCCUACGGGAGGCAGCAGUGGGGAAUUUUGGACAAUGGGGGCAACCCUGAUCCAGCCAUGCCGCGUGAGUGAAGAAGGCCUUCGGGUUGUAAAGCUCUUUCGGCCGGGAAAAAAUCGCAUGGGUUAAUACCCUGUGUGGAUGAUGGUGCCGGAAUAAGAAGCACCGGCUAACUACGUGCCAGCCGCCGCCGUAA
rnacentral:rRNA from 1 species